rnacentral:rRNA from 1 species
UACAGAGGGGGCAAGCGUUGUUCGGAAUUACUGGGCGUAGAGGGCGCGUAGGCGGCCCGCUAAGUCGAACGUGAAAUCCCCGAGCUCAACUCGGGAACUGCGUCCGAUACUGGCGGGCUUGAAUCCGGGAGAGGGAUGCGGAAUUCCAGGUGUAGCGGUGAAAUGCGUAGAUAUCUGGAGGAACACCGGUGGCGAAGGCGGCAUCCUGGACCGGCAUUGACGCUGAGGCGCGAAAGCGUGGGGAGCAAACAGG